rnacentral:rRNA from 1 species
ACGCUCGACACCUACGUGAGGCAGCAGUGGGGAAUAUUGCACAAUGGGGGAAACCCUGAUGCAGCGACGCCGCGUGAGCGAAGAAGUAUUUCGGUAUGUAAAGCUCUAUCAGCAGGGAAGAAAAUGACGGUACCUGACUAAGAAGCACCGGCUAAAUACGUGCCAGCAGCCGACGGUAAUCUGAGGCCGGGUCGUGGACGAAGGC